GUCAAAUAUGGUUUGAAUGAUGGCAGAGGCAAAGUUGCCAAUCAUGCUGUGGCCGAUCACUUACGAGUGAUGGGAGAUCUUGAGUUACAGCUUUCAGCCCCUAUUGUUGAAGUAAAAAAGCAAGACCAGAGCUGCACUUUGUAUUUUAUACAACCUCAUGGGAAAUUUGCCAUCUGACGUCCUGGAUAACUAUUUCGUGGAGUAGACCAACUUGCUGGAUCUGAAUGAAGAAAUGCUACCGCGUGGAAUGUUGCCCAUACCGUAAUUUUCGCAUGGCUGCAAGGUAUAAGGUUGAAAUGUUCAAGCUCAUAUUUUUGCUAAUCCUUUUAUUUGGUUAGGUUCAGUAAUUUCCGUCUCUACUGAAAUGGUAGUUGACUCUUGAUUCUUGGCUAGUGUACUCUUUUCCAGUUACCGAGCUGUCCUAUAUAUCCUCCUAGCAUAUUUCUUCUUAUUGCUAUGCUGUUCAGUUGGCUAAUGUGAAAGGACAGCCUCUA